rnacentral:rRNA from 1 species
GAUGAACGCUGGCGGCGUGCCUAAUACAUGCAAGUCGAGCGAACAGAUAAGGAGCUUGCUCCUUUGACGUUAGCGGCGGACGGGUGAGUAACACGUGGAUAACCUACCUAUAAGACUGGGAUAACUUCGGGAAACCGGAGCUAAUACCGGAUAACAUAUUGAACCGCAUGGUUCAAUAGUGAAAGGCGGCUUUGCUGUCACUUAUAGAUGGAUCCGCGCCGUAUUAGCUAGUUGGUAAGGUAACGGCUUACCAAGGCAACGAUACGUAGCCGACCUGAGAGGGGGGUCGGCAACACGGGACCGGGACCCGGGUCAAGACACCGCGGGGAGGAAGCAGUAGGGAAGCUUCCGAAAGGGGCGAAAGCCGGACGGAGAAACGCGGGGGGAGUGAUAAGGUUUUCGGGAUCGAAAAACUGUUUUAUGGGGGAAAAAAAAAGGUGAAAGAAACUGUGCACAUCUUGAGGGUCCUUAAUAAAAAAGCCACGGCUAACUACGUC